rnacentral:rRNA from 1 species
CCUACGGGAGGCUGCAGUGAGGAAUAUUGGUCAAUGGACGAGAGUCUGAACCAGCCAAGUAGCGUGAAGGAAGACGGUCCUAUGGGUUGUAAACUUCUUUUAUAUGGGAGUAAAAUGUUCCACGUGUGGGAUUUCGUAUGUACCAUAUGAAUAAGGAUCGGCUAACUCCGUGCCAGCAGCCGCGGUAAUACGGAGGAUCCGAGCGUUAUCCGGAUUUAUUGGGUUUAAAGGGAGCGUAGGUGGAAUGUUAAGUCAGUUGUGAAAGUUUGGGGCUCAACCGUAAAAGUGCAGUUGAAACUGGCAGUCUUGAGUGCAGUAGAGGUAGGCGGAAUUCGUGGUGUAGCGGUGAAAUGCUUAGAUAUCACGAAGAACUCCGAUUGCGAAGGCAGCUCACUGGACUGCAACUGACGCUGAGGCUCGAAAGUGUGGGUAUCAAACAGGAUUAGAUACCCGGGUAGUC